UGGUUCCUUUUUUUUUUGUUGUGAUUCUUUCUCUGUGGGUGCAGUAUCAUUAUCUUCAUCAUCUGACAAAUUUAUAUACGCUUUUUGAUCUGCAACAUCAUUAUAUUCAUCAUGUUCUUCUACUUUUUCUUCUUUUCCUUCUUCUCUUUCCAUUUCUUCAUCGCAUUGUUUGGGAUUCUCUUGUUUUUCUGUUUCUUCAACAUUGCAAGUAGAAUGAUGAUCUCUGUAUUCAACCUGUAUAAAUAAUUACAAGUUCCCAAAUACAAACCAGAACACAGUUAUUAGUCAUGUAAAUCACUUUAAAAAAGCUUUUAAAAUCCGUUGUAAAAUCUUAUCGAACACUGCCUACCCUUUCAAAACGAAUUUCAAUCUUUUAAAACCCCAUUAAGAAGUCUUUAAAAUCCCUUGUAAAUACAUAUCUAACACUGCUUAUCUUUUUAAAACGGCUAAAAAUCUUUAAAACACGAUUUAUAAGCUUUUAAAAUCCCUUGUAAAAACACAUACCUUUUCUUCUUCCUCUUCUUUUCCUUCUUCCUCUAGCUUUUCUUCUUCCCCUUCCAUUUCUUCAUCACCUUGUUUGGGG
rnacentral:sRNA from 1 species